AGGGGUAUAGCUCAGUGGUAGAGCAUGUGCUUAGCACACACAAGGUCCUGGGUUCAAUCUCUAGUACCUCCA
rnacentral:tRNA from 1 species